GAAGCCGUGGGUGAGUGGUUCCGGAGUCCAGGAAAUCGGCUCACUGCAUGUUCUGGAUAGGGUUGCACUCCCUCUGAAAGAUCAGAGUGAUGGUGCCUAUGACUCCAGCCAUGGACAGACUUCACUGGGAGAUGUCAAGAAGUGAGAUCUGAAAAUCCUUUAAACUUCCUCUUUCAAACUCAUUAAAGCCCAAAAAUAAAUUUCAGUGCCAGAGGAGACUCUUUGCAUCUGCUGAAGUGGACUGUAGUCAAUGGAAGCUCAUACUGUGAUACCUUUGUUAAGUCAUUAAAGGUGUUACAAAA